rnacentral:piRNA from 1 species
UUAUGAAAUGAUUUAUUUAUU